UGUGUGUGUGUGGUAAUAUGUAAGGAAGAGCAGGAAAAGGCUGUCAGGAAAGGAGGGGUGGGGAACAUGAAGGGCAGAAAGAGGACAACAUGAAACAGGACAGAGGGAUGGGGCUUGAAAACGUUCUUGUCUUCCUUUUUCUCCUCCGACAUUCGCUCAUUUCGAAGAAACGACCCUGGUUUGCUUCUCCCUACAGGGACUCAUCUUACCUCCCAAUGCACUCUGAUAAGAAACACACGCACCGAAAACUCAUGCACAGAUUCAGGCAGAGAGAAAAAGACACCCACACAUGUGCGCAUACAAUGACACAAAUCCACAAGCACAGCCAAAACACACACACAGGAGCUCGGCAAGCUAAUCAGAACAUGUGGCCUAUUUCUCUCUAGGUUUUAAUGAGCUCUCCAUUGUGGAGUGCUGACUGAUAUUAUUAGGCUGCCGUGUCUCAGCUCAUUAGCUAAACCAGGCUCAACAACAACACCAGCAGCUAAAAGAUGAUUUGAUACCACCUGCAGAGUUAUGUGUCACCACAGGACCUUAAAGAGACGGCGGUGAGAGACCGAGCAAGUGUGUUCAUAUGGCCGUCAGGGGAGAGCGAGGCUGAAUCCCGCUUCUUAUGACACGAGGGAUCAUAAGUCAGUUUGAUAGAAAGAAAAAGAAGAAUACAUCAUAGGCCGAAUUUAGCCGUCUCCCCUUGGCGUUUAUAAAGUUCCCCGUGGGUGUGGCUUGCAGAUUCAUCGUGCAAUUUUAGCAGCACACCGGUGACAAGUGAAGAGAAGUAGUCAACAACACUCAAUGGAAAACAAUUCGGCAAUCAUUUGUUCUUAGUUGACUGAGUUAUUGCUCUGUGUUGAAUGGCUCAAUUUCCUGUAUUGGCACUGUGUGGAAUGCCUCUGCUACAUGCUAUUAAAGCAGCUAAAUGAAUCCCACUCAACUGGAGAAUAUUUCUUUGUUGGUUUUUAAAUGGUUUGUACAGUUCUACUCAAGUACAAUUUUGAAAUGCAUGACUUUUACUUGAAACCAAGUACUUUAUUCAUUUAAUGUAUUAUUGCUACUUUUACUUUAAAGUAAAGGAUAGUAAAUAAUCUGCUUAUGGACCACACUGCCCGUGGGUAUGAGUUGUUUUUGUUAAAUACAACGGAUACAUUUCAGUCAACAUUUAUUAUGUAAAAUGAUGUUGUUGUACGCCACUGGCAUUGAGCUGUUCUUUAUUCAUUAUCUACUAUUUCUCCAGUCCAAUAAUGUAACCUGAGUUACAGCUAGGGUUACAAAUAAUGUAUAUUUUAGAAACUAUUUUGUUAUAUUUUUUGAAAUCACAUUCCGACUGCAAUCCAUAAAAUCAAAUCAAUUACCUUAAAGAAUUCUGAAGAUUUAUUUUAAAGUGAUCCUUGUGCAAUACGGCCUGAUGCUGAAAGCUGCACCGAAGGUAUCUAUGAAGGCUCUCCUGUUAACCCCAUGCUGUAACUGGCUCUACAGUUCAAGUAGACACGUCAACGAGUCUACAGAUAAGUAGGCCACGAUGACCUUUCUUUAAAUCCACUUUUUGCUGUUUUGGUCAAAGAGGGUUUCCUCGGCAUGCACGAGUUGAAAAGGGGACAUCCUCGACAGACAAUAUUUUAAAGUAGUCCUAUAUUAAUGAUAUUUCACAAGGAUUUUAUAAACCAUUAUUUCCUGAAUUUGAAAAUUUAGUUUAACGCUUUGGCAAAUAUUGAUAGUGACAAACACUUGAGCUGUACGACUUGCAGAGAAAAGGAAAGAGAGGGAGACGGAAUUAAAGAAAAGCAGAGAGAGACAGAAAGCAGAGGAGGAGGAAAUGAUAGCGAUGUUUGCAUUGAAGAUUUUAAACGUUUUCUCAGACAGACGUCUUGUUUCUCUGUUGUCCCCGCUAUCCUCUUCCUCCUCAUCUUCCUCUGUAGUGUUUACAUGCUGCCUCUUCUCUUAAUCCGGCCUACAGGAUGCCCACUUCACUUGGUUACCUCUCAGUACAGAGAUGAAAGGGAUAAAAAAGCUGCCCGGAGCUGGGCCGCUCUCCAGUCCCUCUCAUCGACUGAUUUAUCCCCCGAUCCAUCACACAACGCCAGUUCCACCGAAUGGGAGCUGAUAUGGGAGCUAUGGGCGGGACGAAGGUCUUGCUCCUGGUGUUUCUGGUUGGAUGGGAGAAGUCGCUGGGUCUCAACUGGAACCCAACACCACGCAAGACUGUUCGAUACCAGGAUGUUUUGGACAGCAUGGCGAGGUUCAGCAUUCAGGGAGUGUUCAACUACAGCAUGCUGACUCUGUCUGACCACGAGAGGGUUUUGUACGUCGGAGCACGGGAGACGUUGUUCGCCCUGGACCCCAACGACAUCAGCAAACAGCUACGGCCUCAGAUCGACUGGCUGGCUCCGCAGGACAAGAAGAGAGAGUGUGUUGCCAAAGGGAAGAACAACCAGACCGAGUGCUUCAACUACAUCCGUUUCCUGCAGAGCUACAACCACACGCAUCUCUACACCUGCGGCACCUACGCCUUCCAGCCCAAAUGCACCUAUGUGAAUGCCGACUACUUUACCCUGAACACUGCAGCCCUGGAAGAUGGGAAGGGUAAAUGCCCAUAUGACCCUGCCAAGGGGCAUACUGGCCUCAUAGUGGAUCAGGAGCUGUACUCAGCAACGCUCAACAACUUCCUGGGUACAGAGCCAGUCAUUUUGAGGAACCUGGGCCAACAGCACUACAGCAUGAAGAGUGAAUACUUGCCUGCCUGGCUCAAUGAGCCGGACUUUGUGGGUUCAGCCCUGGUGAGGGAGAGCAGCGGCAGUAAAGAGGGGGACGACGACAAGAUCUACUUCUUCUUCAGUGAGCGAGCGUUGGAGCUGGACUGUGACACUGAGCUCACUGUGGCCAGAGUGGCCCGAGUCUGCAAGGGGGAUCUGGGUGGUACCAGAACCCUGCAGAAGAAGUGGACCACCUUCCAGAAAGUCCGUCUGGAGUGCUCCCUCCCCGAGCGCCACGUCUCCUUCAACAACCUGAGGGCCGUCUUCACGCUGCCGGGCCAGGACUGGAGGGGGACCACCUUCUACGGCAUCUUCCACGCGCAGUGGGGUGACGUGGACGUGUCGGCGGUUUGCCAGUACCAGAUCAGUGAUGUGAAGAAGGUGUUUGAAGGAUCCUACAAAGAGUACAGGGAGGCAUCUCAAAGGUGGGGGCGCUACACCGGUGCUGUCCCUGUGCCACGACCUGGAUCGUGUAUAACUAACUCAGACAGGGAGAACGGCUACAACAGCUCUCUGCAGCUGCCUGACGCCACGCUCAACUUUGCCAAGAAGCACCCGCUGAUGGAGGACAAAGCUCUGGCUCGCCCCCUGCUGCUUACCAAGGGUGUCAACUUCACGAGGCUAGCGGUGGAUCGGGUUAGCGCCCUGGACCAGCGGGCGUACAACAUGCUGUUCAUAGGCACAGCGGAGGGCUGGCUGCAAAGGGUGGUGAUCCUGGGCUCCGAGGCCUACGUGAUAGAGGAGAUCCAGCUGUUCGAGACGGCCCAGCCAGUGGACAGCCUGACCAUCUCCCACUCCAAGAAGUACUUGUACAUCGGCUCUCGUUCGGAGGUUCUCCAGCUGCCCUUGGCCAACUGCAGCCGCUAUCAGUCUCAGCCAGACUGUCUGCUCGCCCGGGAUCCCUACUGCGCUUGGGACAGCGAGGGUCGGGCCUGCGUCCGCAUCGACCUCCACCGCGGGUCCACCUCCUCCCUGUCACAGGAUCUGAUGCUGGAAAGGUUUAGCCGGGGGAAAGCCAAGUUUGAUAAGCCCGUCUCCAUCCCCAGCCCUGAGCACUCCCGUCUGAGGAACGUUACAGUGGUGGUGGGGUCUGACAUGGUGCUGCCUUGCCAGCUGGUCUCCAACCUGGCUCAGCCCUUCUGGGUCCUCAACGAACGUGAGCUCCAGCUGAGUGACCCCGAGGCUGGAGGGCCGCGCUUCGACCGGACCCUCAAAGCUCUCGUCGUCCCUGAAGCGGGCCAGAUGCAAGCGGGCCGCUAUAUCUGCUACUCUGAGGAGCAGGGGGUCAAGUUUCAGACAGAGCGCUACCAGGUGGCCGUAGUAGCCAGCGCUCCGGUCUUCAUGGAGGCCCGUGCUCCAGACAGCAGCAUGGGGCUCUUCUGGGUUCUGGUCAUCACCCUUGGAGCGGCGUGCCUGCUGCUCCUUGUAGCGGCUCUUUACUUGCGCAGGAGGCUGAAGCUGGCCCUGGGAAAGGGGGCUGAUAUGAAGCCUCUCGAGAGCACCCUGGUCUACCCCAUCACCCUGCCCAAGGAGCCGCCCACCUUUGUGCCCAGCAAGAUGCCCUGCGACGAGGACCGCUUCUGGGAGACAGGCGCCAACUACUACUAUUCAGACGGCUCGCUGAAGAUCGUUCCCGGUCACGCCCUGGGGCCCAGCAGUGUCAGCAGCACGGCGUCGCCCAGCGCCAUUCCCGGCCAGCCCAUCCACUCCCCCAGCCGUCUCAGCCUCACCAACAUUCGAGGCUCAGGUAGCAAUGGCUACAUCCGCCUCAACCUGAGCACAGCAGGGGAGGAGAGGGCUAGCGGGGUUGGCGCUGGGGGCGGCGGGCUGGGAGGCCUGGGCAUGGGCGGGAACGACUACUCCAGCCCCUUCAAGGAAGAGCUGAGGCGCACUCUGCAGCAGAGAAGCGUGCUGCCCGACGCGAACCCCGAAGAGUCGUCCGUCUAGGCCUGUCCUCCUCCGUCACCAUUCCCUGAGUUGGAAAAACAAAACAACCAACCUACCUCCCUCCUUUUGAGGAUGCCUGCUCUCUCUCUCUUUCAGUGACACGCUGUCAAUUCCCCGUGCUCUCUCUCUCUCUCUCUCCCGCUCUGCCAAUGCCUGUUUGGCUCACUGUUGACAUUUAUAGCACACAGCAUGUUAAAUAUAAACACUCAUACACUGUGUUCGCCAACAUGCACUCCUAUAAUUAUUAUGUUCUGGGCAACAUGCAGUCACUGUUGUGGCUUUUUCUGCUUCCAGUGUGCAAAUGCCACUUGUGUACAUUUUGUAUUUAAAAAGGCUGAACGCAGAGGAGAACACCUCAAGCAUUGAAAUCAAACAAAUGGUGUUACAUGUUUUCUGAAGGGCAAAUUUUCUUUUUUUUUUGUUGAGUGGACCAAGAGGCUUUCAGCCCCUGUGCUGAAACCAGUUGACGAAUGGCAAGAAGCAACUGACUGGAAAUAUUGAACUGAUGCUCUGUCCUGUUCCUUUGAGACUUUUUCAGCUUACUGCACUUAAAAACUGGAAGCGUGUCUUCCCUUUUUGUAUUUGUGAGCCAAGAGUGCGAGAGCGGUAUAAAAAAGACGAAUUAAUCUCGAAGCAAGACGACAAUCAUGUCCCCGUAGCAGGAGCUCUGCGAGGGACAGAGAGGAGACGAGAGAGAGCAAGAGACAAAGAGAGAGGAAAUUAAAUGGAAAAUGAAGUGAAUUGGCGUGAAAGAUGCAAGGGGGGGGGCUUUGAAUGAAGGACAAUCUCUCAAGACUUUCUCUGCUCAAUUUAAAUCCCCCCGUCCCAUGUUGUAUUUAGCCCCGGAGAAAGUCCUUGAUCCCUUCCACUUUCAUUUGUUGUGAUGGUUGGUUUGAAUUAAGACAUUGGUUGUUGUUCUUUUUCUAUGUCUUACCGACUACAGCAGUGUUCAGACGAUUAUCAAGUGACGAAUGGCUCCACUCUGUGAGUGACGAUGUGAGGGCUUACAUUCCUCGCUCAAGCCUGCACGGUGACCUUCAAACGCACCUUCAAGUCCAAUAUACGAGAAGUGCACUCCAAACGACAUUCAUCAGAGUCAAAGUGUGUCACAGAUAUGCCUUUUGUCCGAGCCCUUUUGGACGUUUUGUUCAUCACUGUAGAAAGAACCGGCUAUUUGCAUUCAGCUCAUAGCAGCGGAACAAUAACUGCACACUUAAUUCCAAAUUGAAGCUGACAUGAAGACAUUAGGCAAGGAGAAUGUAGUUGAACCGUCACUGUUGCGACCGCUGUGGAUGUCUCAAUAAGUGCUUUAUAUUGUGUGUGUAUGGUGAGGGUGGUAACUUGCACUGCCAAGAAGGAAACGACCCCUCCUACACACACCGACACACUCACAGUCCUCUGAAUGCCAACCAUCCUGGACGACAGUGUGUUUGUGACGCACCCUUACAACCCAUGAACCCCCCCUCCCUCUUACCGAUACCCAGAGACUGACCCGGGGCUACUGUGGACUUAUACAGAGGAAGAGCACUGUAAAACAAACCAACACAAAAUGAAUACACACACACAGUGUUGGUGGACAAAUGGACAGACAGACUGAUUGCUGCCAUGCCGACAAACCGCUGGCUCCAGGCGGGAAACAGCUGUGAACCAGUGAAAGAGGUGGCUUUUUGUUUUUGGGACAUGUCUGUCGGGACCAGAGGAGCACAGCAAGAAGGAAGGGGAGGACAAAAAUACCUUGUGUUUGCCCCCACUGUGUACAGAGCGCUGAGAGAGAUGUAGAAUAUCAAAAAUGAUCCCAAGGUUGAAGAGGUACUCAGCCAUCAGCACUCCAUCUUAAAGUUGCAUGAUCCUCUGCAAGUGGACUGCACAUCUUUGAUAUGAUCAUCCUUGUACAAGUGCAUCAUUUUGAUCGGCCAUUUUUUGACUUUUACAGACACUAAUGUUGUGGAACAAUAAUGUUCUCUUUGAAAAACAAAUAUAUAUAUAUAUGUCUGAUUUUAUGGUUCAAGGGUUGUACAGGAAUUCAUGGCUGCAUUCAUGUUUACUUUUGUUGUGCCUCUUCACCUUUUGGAAAAACCAAAGUAGACUGCAGUUGCUUUUGUUCUUGUUGAAAUAAUUAAAUUGAUUUGAUUUGAUUCCAGAUCGAUAUUUAAGUCUCAGCAGUCCGUCCACUUUGUUACACUGAGCUGAUGUCUGCAACCUCUCUGCAUAUUGUGUCUGCAGCUAAAUUUUCCCUCAAGCAAAAUGUCUUAAGGCUGAUGGACUUCCUGUUUUCUUCCUUUCUUUAUGUCAGUGGUGAUCUGCUGGACCCAAUUCUUUAUGAAAGGCUGAGUAAUGUACCAAAACUUUAACCAUUAUUUAAUUUGUCAGCUCCUAAAAACCAAAUAUGUAUCUGUUGAUUCAAAGCAGAUCAGUGAUAGAAUGUGCCCACUUUAUCUUAUUACAUCCCCUUAAGCAUUUAGCUAAAACAUGUCAGCUCUUUACACUGGUACUUGGUUAUGUCUUAUAAAAUAUUUCCCUUUUACAAUCAGGCCUUUUAUUUAAUAGAACAUGUUGCAAAGAACAAAAAGAUAAAGGAAUAGAGGUCUCAAACUACAAAAAAAUGCAUGUGUAAUGUACUUUAUGUGCAUUUCUUCAGUUCUUACACAUUUGUUUGCUCAUAAUAUUUCCUCCCACACAUGGCUUUAAGUUCUGCUGUUUCUCGCAUUAUCAUUUGUAUUAUUCUAUUAUCAACCUGAUUUUAUUUUGCCCCAUUUUUGCUUGUCUGUUAUUGAUCUUUUAUGUUUGUUUUUAAAUAUGUUAAGUAACUUAUUUCACUUGUACAAAUGUGUUGGUAUUUAUUAUCAUUGUACAUAUGUCCUUAUUUUUUAUAUGUGUGUAUAUAUACACAAAUAAAAAUAGAGAUAUGCUCAAGGUGUGUGAUUUUGUUUGUUAAACAGGAAGUUUACUAGUCAUAGAAAGUGCUACUUAUCCUGUGAAAACAGGAGUAAAAGUUUUUUCUGUGGCUGUGGAGAAGCUUUGUCGAGUCUGAGAAAAUUACCCCGAUGAUGUCAUAGUGAUGUCAUCAGAGUUAUCUCGGCCUGAGCUUGGAUUUAACGAUCAUUUAUUGUCAUUAUGCAUGAUGAAAUUUAGUUGUAGCCCAUUUGUAACACAACAAACACAUG